UACGAAGGGGGCUAGCGUUGCUCGGAAUCACUGGGCGUAAAGGGUGCGUAGGCGGGUCUUUAAGUCAGGGGUGAAAUCCUGGAGCUCAACUCCAGAACUGCCUUUGAUACUGAGGAUCUUGAGUAUGGGAGAGGUGAGUGGAACUGCGAGUGUAGAGGUGAAAAUUCGUAGAUAUUCGCAAGAACACCAGUGGCGAAGGCGGCUCACUGGCCCAUUACUGACGCUGAGGCACGAAAGCGUGGGGAGCAAACAGG
rnacentral:rRNA from 1 species